rnacentral:rRNA from 1 species
AUUGAACGCUGGCGGCAGGCUUAACACAUGCAAGUCGAGCGGGGGAGGUUGCUUCGGUAACUGACCUAGCGGCGGACGGGUGAGUAAUGCUUAGGAAUCUGCCUAUUAGUGGGGGACAACAUUCCGAAAGGAAUGCUAAUACCGCAUAUGCCCUACGGGGGAAAGCAGGGGAUCUUCGGACCUUGCGCUAAUAGAUGAGCCUAAGUCGGAUUAGCUAGUUGGUGGGGUAAAGGCCUACCAAGGCGACGAUCUGUAGCGGGUCUGAGAGGAUGAUCCGCCACACUGGGACGGGGACACGGCCCAGACUCCUACGGGAGGCAGCAGUGGGGAAUAUUGGACAAUGGGCGGAAGCCUGAUCCAGCCAUGCCGCGUGUGUGAAGAAGGCCUUUUGGUUGUAAAGCACUUUAAGCGAGGAGGAGGCUCUUAAGGUUAAUACCCUUGAUGAGUGGACGUUACUCGCAGAAUAAGCACCGGCUAACUCUGUGCCAGCCGCCGCCGUAACAC